rnacentral:lncRNA from 1 species
CUCCCUCCCUCCCUCCCUCCCUCCCUUACUGGCAGGGUCUUCCUCUGUCUCUGCCGCCCAGGAUCACCCCAACCUCAAUGCUUUGGACCGACCAAACGGUCGUCCUGCCUCUGAUCCCUCCCAUCCCCAUUACCUGAGACUACAGGCACGCACCACCACACCGGCUGACUUCUAUGUUGCUUCUCAUGUUUUCCGUAGGUAGGUAUGUAUGCGUGGGUAUGUAUGUAUGUACGUGUGUAUGUAUGUAUGUAUGUGAGUGAGAUGGGUUUCGGGAUUCUAUCAUGUUGCCCAUGCUGGUCUCGAACUCCUGUCCUCAAGCAACUCCGCCCUGCCUGCCUCGGCCGCCCACACUGCUGCUAUUACAGGCGUGAGACGCUGCGCCUGGCUCCUUCUACGUUUGCCUGCCUGCCUGCCUGCCUGCCUGCCUGCCUGCCUGCCUGCCUAUCAAUCGUCUUCUUUUUAGUACGGAUGUGCUCUCGCUUUGUUGUCCAUGCUCUGGGCACACGUGAUCUCUUUUUAAACUUCUAUGAUUAUGAUGAUUGUAGGCGUCAUCUCACGUGUCGGGGUGAUCUCCUAACUUUUAGGCUCCAGAGAUCCUCCCGCAUCGGCCUCCCGGAGUGCUGUGAUGACACGCGUGGGCACGACGGAGUUUCACUCUUGUCGCCCACGGUGGAGUACGAUGGCGGAUCUCGGCUCACCGCACCCUCCGCCUCCCAGGUUCAAGUGAUUCUCCUGCCUCAGCCUUCCCGAGUAGCUGCGAUGACAGCGAUGAGCCAUCGUGCCUGGCUAAUUUUUCUAUUCCUAGUACAGAUGGGGUUUCUCCAUCUUGGUUAGGCUGGUCUUCAACUUCCGACCGUUGGAGGAUCUUAACUUUCUUGGUGGUGGUUGUUUUCUUUUCUUUUUUCUUU